GUGAGGAAUUUUCCGCAAUGGGCGAAAGCCUGACGGAGCAAUGCCGCGUGAAGGAUGAAGGCCUAUGGGUUGUAAACUUCUUUUCUCAGAAAAGAAUUAUGACGGUAUCUGAGGAAUAAGCAUCGGCUAACUCUGUGCCAGCAGCCGCGGUAAGACAGAGGAUGCAAGCGUUAUCCGGAAUGAUUGGGCGUAAAGCGUCUGUAGGUUGUUUAAAAAGUAUUCUGUCAAAGAUUAGGGCUUAACCCUAGAUAGGCAGAAUAAACUUUUAAGCUAGAGUUUGGUAGAGGCAGAGGGAAUUCCCGGUGGAGCGGUGAAGUGCGUAGAUAUCGGGAGGAACACCAAAGGCGAAGGCACUCUGCUGGGCCAAUACUAACACUGAGAGACGAAAGCGAGGGGAGCAAAUGGGAUUAGAUACCCUGGUAGUCC
rnacentral:rRNA from 1 species